rnacentral:rRNA from 1 species
GACGAACGCUGGCGGCGUGCUUAACACAUGCAAGUCGAACGGUGAAGCGCCUUCCUUUUUGGUGGGUGUGGAUGAGUGGCGAACGGGUGAGUAACACGUGAGUAACCUGCCCCCUUCUUCUGGAUAACCGCAUGAAAGUGUGGCUAAUACGGGAUAUUCUGGGUCUGUCGCAUGAUGGGUCUGGGAAAGAUAUUGUUUCGGGGGGGGAUGGGCUCGCGGCCUAUCAGCUUGUUGGUGGGGUGAUGGCCUACCAAGGCGGUGACGGGUAGCCGGCCUGAGAGGGUAGACGGUCACACUGGGACUGAGACACGGCCCAGACUCCUACGGGAGGCAGCAGUGGGGAAUAUUGCACAAUGGGCGCAAGCCUGAUGCAGCGACGCCGCGUGAGGGAUGGAGGCCUUCGGGUUGUGAACCUCUUUCGCCAGUGAAGCAGGCCUGCCUCGUUUGUGGGUGGGUUGACGGUAGCUGGAUAAGAAGCGCCGGCUAACUACGUG